UGAGGAAUAUUGGUCAAUGGACGAGAGUCUGAACCAGCCAAGUAGCGUGCAGGAUGACGGCCCUCCGGGUUGUAAACUGCUUUUAGUUGGGAAUAAAAAAGAUGACGUGUCAUCUAUUGUAUGUACCAUCAGAAAAAGGACCGGCUAAUUCCGUGCCAGCAGCCGCGGUAAUACGGAAGGUCCAGGCGUUAUCCGGAUUUAUUGGGUUUAAAGGGAGCGUAGGCGGAGAGAUAAGUCAGCGGUAAAAAUCGUGCGGCUCAACCGUACCUCGCCGUUGAUACUGUUUUUCUUGAGUGCACACAGGGAUGCUGGAAUUCGUCGUGUAGCGGUGAAAUGCAUAGAUAUCACGCAGAACCCCGAUCGCGAAGGCAGCCUGCCAGGCCGUGACUGACACUGAUGCACGAAAGCGUGGGUAUCGAACAGGAUUAGAUACCCUGGUAGU
rnacentral:rRNA from 1 species